rnacentral:lncRNA from 1 species
GUGGCCAGUUCGAGAUCACAUACUUCUUUCAAAGAACUCGACAUUUAAAAACAAAACCAAAAGUUCCAGAGCCGGGAAGCUGGAGAUGGCGAACAGUCCAGUUCACCUGCCAGAACUAUCUUUGUGCGCAACAACAUAUGCAUAUGCGUGAAUGAGUAUGUAUACACACACAGACGUAUGUGGUCUGCUAAGGUAUACCCCAUGCAUGGAGGAUGUCCUAGAAAGAGUCCGAGGAGGAGCCUUCUGCUGAGUGGCUGGAGUGAGAUUCUCCAGAUCGUCACCUGCAUAGAUUCCAUCCUGCUGAUUGUGCUGAGAUCUAGAAGGCAGAAAGCCUCUGAGGAGGUCCAUGGCCAUUUGAAAAAGCCUGACCAGGCAUUCAAAUGGAAAACCAAAGUUGAUGAAAAACACAUAGUGCCCAGAUUCCAAAAUGAAUGGCGCAGAUGGACGUAUCUUAUCUCCCUGUCCUGUCCAGAGAGCCAUCUUUUAUAA